AGAAUCAACGCUGGCGGCGUGCCUAACACAUGCAAGUCGAACGAGAAAGUGGAGCAAUCCAUUAGUAAAGUGGCGCACGGGUGAGUAACACGUGACUAACCUACCCUUGAGUGGGGGGAUAACCUAGGGAAACCUGGGCUAAUACCGCAUAAUACCUUCGGGUCAAAGGAGCAAUUCGCUUAAGGAGGGGGUCGCGGCCGAUUAGUUAGUUGGCGGGGUAAUGGCCCACCAAGACGAUGAUCGGUAUCC
rnacentral:rRNA from 1 species